rnacentral:tRNA from 1 species
AAGAGAAUAGUUUAAUGGUUAAAACAAGAAGCUUCAACCUUCUCGAUCUCGGUUCGAGUCCGAGUUCUCUUG